UGGGAGGAGGUAGUGGGCUGGUUCGGACGCGGGUCGAGGCUGUAGCAGGACUCCAGGAAGAUGUUACCGAGUACUUCAGUGAAUUCCUCAGUGCAGGGGAACGGAGUCUUGAAUUCCAGGGAUGCAGCAAGACACACAGCCGGAGUGAAACGCUACAAAUAUCUGAGAAGGCUUUUCCGCUUUCGGCAGAUGGACUUGAAUUUGCUGCCUGGCAGAUGCUCUACCUGUUCACAUCCCCACAGAGAGUUUACAGAAAUUUUCAUUAUCGAAAACAGACGAAGGACCAGUGGGCCAGAGAUGACCCUGCUUUCUUGGUCCUGUUAAGUAUCUGGCUCUGUGUGUCCACUAUAGGAUUUGGCUUUGUGCUGGACAUGGGAUUCUUUGAGACAAUAAAGCUUCUCCUUUGGGUUGUAUUCAUAGAUUGCGUAGGCGUUGGUCUUCUGAUAGCAACUUUAAUAUGGUUCAUCUCUAACAAGUAUUUAGUGAAACGACAGAGCAGAGACUAUGAUGUGGAAUGGGGCUAUGCUUUUGAUGUGCAUCUCAAUGCUUUUUAUCCACUCCUGGUCAUUUUGCAUUUUAUCCAGCUUUUUUUCAUCAACCAUGUUAUCCUGACAAAUACAUUUAUUGGAUAUUUAGUUGGAAAUACCUUAUGGUUGGUUGCAGUUGGCUAUUAUAUCUAUGUAACUUUCCUGGGAUACAGUGCAUUGCCAUUUUUGAAAAAUACAGUAAUUCUUCUGUAUCCAUUUGCACCUCUGAUUCUGCUCUACGGGCUGUCCCUGGCACUGGGAUGGAACUUCACCCAUACUCUGUGUUCUUUCUAUAAGUACAGAGUGAAAUUUUAAAAAGUGAGAA